AUAAUGCUGGAGGAGCACCCAAAAUUGUUCCUUUACAUGUUGGCUCAAUGUUCAUGAAAUCCUUUUGUUUCCCGGCUUCGGUUUUUCCAAAUAGAUUUUCAUUCAAAGACUUAUCUUUGGAAAUGUUUUUCUUGCUGGCAUUAUCAAUCUCUAUGUCCGUUUGUUAGAUACAUAAUUGACGGUGGAAAUGAAGCUUUCCUGUAAAACACACUAUUAAAAAAAUUUCUUACCCAUUGCAAU